UACGUAGGGGGCGAGCGUUGUCCGGAGUUACUGGGCGUAAAGGGCAUGCAGGCGGUCAGGCGCGUUUUGUGUGACAGCGGAUGGCUUAACUGUCCGAGGAUACGAGAUACGGCGUGACUUGAGAGCGCGAGAGGGACACGGAAUUCCGGGUGGAGUGGUGAAAUGCGUAGAGAUCCGGAGGAACACCGAAGGCGAAGGCAGUGUCCUGGCGCGUAUCUGACGCUGAGGUGCGAAAGCCAGGGGAGCGAACGGGAUUAGAUACCCCGGUAGUCCUGGCCGUAAACGAUGACCACUAGGUGUAGGAGGUAUCGACCCCUUCUGUGCCGGAGGAAACCCAUUAAGUGGUCCGCCUGGGGAGUACGGUCGCAAGAUUAAA
rnacentral:rRNA from 1 species